UUAAUGUUAAAAAAUAGCUGAGUAAGAAGUGAAAGGCCUCCAUGCGACGGAUUUGACAUGUCCAACGCGUUUAGGGUCAAACUUGAUGGACAAAAUUGCCCUUAGCGAAAGAAAAUGCAACCUGGUCGAUCAAAUCCCUCUCAUCGCAAAUCAGAGAGAGAAACCCUUGCGUAGCCAGCGCACCCUAAACAGAAUCGAAGCCACUCAAUGGCAAAGCUGAAGCAAUCAGAGCCACCAUAAAAUAUGAAAUGCUUUAGAUUAAUGCGUUUCUCCAAUUUAGGAUUUUAUUAGAAUUCACUGAAAUAGAAAUUUUUGAAGAAUCAACGCCCAAAAUUUAUAAUUAAGACUAAAAUAAUUAAUUUGUAACUUUUUCCUUUCUUAUUUGUCAAACCUUGAGCAGUUGAGCGUACUUCUCUUUUUUAUCCAAAUCCAGGAAAAUUUUCAGUUUCCCUUCGACAUGGGGGCUAGUCGGCCGCCGGCUACGUCAAGUUUCACUGCAUGCAUCUCCGCUGAUUUUUGGAGCAAAAACGCAAAUGUAGGUUUUAGAUAAAUGCUUGAAAACUCUGGAGUUAAAUGAUGAGUCUAAAAAUUUUCCUAAUUAAAAAGAAAAAAUAGACGGAAAUUACAAUAACGCCCAAAGUUUAUUUUAUUAAGCCUACAGCCUGCUUAUGCCGGAAACUUCUAAACCCCCC
rnacentral:lncRNA from 1 species